rnacentral:rRNA from 1 species
GACGAACGCUGGCGGCGUGCUUAACACAUGCAAGUCGAACGGAAAGGCCCUGCUUUUGUGGGGUGCUCGAGUGGCGAACGGGUGAGUAACACGUGAGUAACCUGCCCUUGACUUUGGGAUAACUUCAGGAAACUUGGGCUAAUACCGGAUAGGAGCUCCUGCUGCAUGGUGGGGGUUGGAAAGUUUCGGCGGUUGGGGAUGGACUCGCGGCUUAUCAGCUUGUUGGUGGGGUAGUGGCUUACCAAGGCUUUGACGGGUAGCCGGCCUGAGAGGGUGACCGGCCACAUUGGGACUGGGAUACGGCCCAGACUCCUACGGGAGGCAGCAGUGGGGAAUAUUGCACAAUGGGCGGAAGCCUGAUGCAGCAACGCCGCGUGCGGGAUGACGGCCUUCGGGUUGUAAACCGCAUUCGCCUGUGACGAAGCGUGAGUGACGGUAAUGGGUAAAGAAGCACCGGCUAACUACGUG